CAUACCCCGUAACUCUCCAUUCACUCCCCCUCCCCUCUCCUCCUCUUCUCUCUCGUUUUUUUACCACCAUGUCUCUUCCUCUUAUUCCAGCCAUCGUAGAUCCCCGUUUGUCGAACCUCUUCUCUCGAUUCCAUGACCCGCGUGCACUUUCUCCAGAAUGCUGCUCGUCUCCUACGACGGAUAGAUUUAUUAAUGUCUUGGGGGAUCGAACCAACCUAACGGGAAUGACGAGAGUCGUGGAGUAAACUUCGUUUCCAUUGUCACCGGGAAAACUUUGAAACGUUUACGAGGUAGCGAGAGAAAAGAAGUAGAAGAAGAAGUAGAA
rnacentral:lncRNA from 1 species